UUCUAACAGAUUUUUGAGAAGUACAUACAGGAAAACAUUUCACAGUUUCCUAAAAACUUAAACACACACUCGAUGAUGCCUGCCUCACUACGCGCCUGGAGGCUUGUCUGCGAGGAAUCAAAGGAAUCUGGUAGUGAUGGCUGAAAACUGGGUCCCAGAUGCUCACUGCUGGGGAACAGGGACAUCAGUCACCGAAUCUGCACUAAGCUCCAAGAGGACCAACUGCCACACGCAGUGUGCUGACUCACCAGAGUGGGAAAACCACGCAGAAGAUAGCGGGGCCACAGGGAGCAUCCACCCCACAUUCUAGAAUGGAGAGAGCCACACAGAAGACAGCGGGGCCAUGGGGAGCAUCCGCCCCACAUUCUAGAACAGGCAAAACCUCCAGCAGGACGAGGAGCUUUCCUGAGGAUGGCACAGGCUGCAGGCACUGCCCACACAGACCUGUAGGUUCACCAAAACUUGCUGAAUUGCAUGCCUGAAAUCACAGAAUUCUGCCGUAUGUAAACAACACCUUCAACACAGCUGCUUCCAGGUGUGGUAGCUCACGUCUGAAAUCCCAGCACUUUAGGAGGCUGAGGCAGGAGGAUCUCUUGAGCCUAGGUCAAGACCAGCCAAGGCAACACAGUGAGACCCCAUCUCCACAAAAAAAAUAAAAAUUAGCCAGGCAUGGUGGCGUGCACCUGUGGUCCCAGCUACUCAGGAGGCUGAGGCUCCUGGGAUGUUUCUAUCACUGGGAAUCGUGACUUUUCACACUGCAGGGGAUGAGCCUGGUGUGUCACCGGCCUUGCCUCCUGGGGCUGUCUGAAGCUGCUGGGCUUCUGGAUGUGGCCCCCCCGUGGGUGUGCAAAAUCCUGUAUCAUAAAAAAAACCAGCUGCUCACACGCACACUUCUCCAAUUCAAGCAGAAGCUGCUGAAGCACAAACAAGGUUAACUGAUGCUGAAGUCUACUCUGGAAAUCCUUUUCUGACUGCAUUUUGAAGACCAUCUUCUACUUUCCAGGUUGGAAUUCAUAUUCUGGUUCUCAGUACACUGUAGAUAACCUGGUGCUACGCUCUGAAUGUGUCCCCCAAAGGCAUGUGCUGGAAACUGAACACCCAGUGCUGCAGCGCUAGGAGGUGGG
rnacentral:lncRNA from 10 species